AUGGAGAAGGAGCUGAUGGCCUGUCUCAGCUUAUCCACUGUCUCGCUGAACAAACAGGCAGGCCUACCUGAUCAUCCCAGCUCCCCCAGGAGAUGUUCAAACUGCCCACCACUGUGUCAGAGCCCGAGAGGAGAGAGAGGCUGGGCUGCCCCAGGAUCUGGAAGCAGCUCCCAUGGGGCCAGUCUGCAGCGGCCAGCGAGCAGAGACUCAGCUCAAGAAAGAAAUGCUGGAGAAGAAACCCUCACUUUAUACCUGACAAUCGCUGAAGUCUUUUCUAUUAAAUGGAAUGUGUGCUUAUGCCAUUUAUAUCUUGGUGCAUUAUUUUUCUGUUUCUAGACGUUCUAGGACAGUCUCCUUAUCUGAAUUUGAAAUAAACUUUAUUUUGCCUUUCAUGUCC
rnacentral:lncRNA from 1 species